rnacentral:rRNA from 1 species
GACGAACGCUCGGCGGCGCGCCUAACACAAGCAAGUCGAACGGAGCUGAGAGAAGCUUGCUUUUCUUAGCUUAGUGGCGAACGGGUGAGUAACGCGUGAGUAACCUGCCCUGGAGUGGGGGACAACAGUUGGAAACGACUGCUAAUACCGCAUAAGCCCACGAUCCGGCAUCGGAUUGAGGGAAAAGGAUUUAUUCGCUUCAGGAUGGACUCGCGUCCAAUUAGCUAGUUGGUGAGGUAACGGCCCACCAAGGCGACGAUUGGUAGCCGGACUGAGAGGUUGAACGGCCACAUUGGGACUGAGACACGGCCCAGACUCCUACGGGAGGCAGCAGUGGGGGAUAUUGCACAAUGGGGGGAAACCCUGAUGCAGCGACGCCGCGUGGAGGAAGAAGGUUUUCGGAUUGUAAACUCCUGUCGUUAGGGACGAUAAUGACGGUACCUAACAAGAAAGCACCGGCUAACUACGUGCCAGCAGCCGCGGUAAAACGUAGGGUGCAAGCGUUGUCCGGAAUUACUGGGUGUAAAGGGAGCGCAGGCGGACCGGCAAGUUGGAAGUGAAAACUAUGGGCUCAACCCAUAAAUUGCUUUCAAAACUGCUGGCCUUGAGUAGUGCAGAGGUAGGUGGAAUUCCCGGUGUAGCGGUGGAAUGCGUAGAUAUCGGGAGGAACACCAGUGGCGAAGGCGACCUACUGGGCACCAACUGACGCUGAGGCUCGAAAGCAUGGGUAGCAAACAGGAUUAGAUACCCUGGUAGUCCAUGCCGUAAACGAUGAUUACUAGGUGUUGGAGGAUUGACCCCUUCAGUGCCGCAGUUAACACAAUAAGUAAUCCACCUGGGGAGUACGACCGCAAGGUUGAAACUCAAAGGAAUUGACGGGGGCCCGCACAAGCAGUGGAGUAUGUGGUUUAAUUCGAAGCAACGCGAAGAACCUUACCAGGUCUUGACAUCCGAUGCAUAGCUUAGAGAUAAGUGAAGUCCUUCGGGACAUCGAGACAGGUGGUGCAUGGUUGUCGUCAGCUCGUGUCGUGAGAUGUUGGGUUAAGUCCCGCAACGAGCGCAACCCUUAUUGCCAGUUACUACGCAAGAGGACUCUGGCGAGACUGCCGUUGACAAAACGGAGGAAGGUGGGGAUGACGUCAAAUCAUCAUGCCCUUUAUGACCUGGGCUACACACGUACUACAAUGGCGUUUAACAAAGAGAAGCAAGACCGCGAGGUGGAGCAAAACUCAAAAACAACGUCUCAGUUCAGAUUGCAGGCUGCAACUCGCCUGCAUGAAGUCGGAAUUGCUAGUAAUCGCGGAUCAGCAUGCCGCGGUGAAUACGUUCCCGGGCCUU